GCGGGCGUAGUUCAAUGGCUAGAACCCCAGCCUUCCAAGCUGAUGAUGCGAGUUCGAUUCUCGUCGCCCGCUCCA
rnacentral:tRNA from 6 species